CACGAGACCAGAAUAGCAGCUAGACCUGAACCAAGCCACUGGGGUUUUGGCCCAAAACAGAAACUCAUGAGACAAAACUGUGCUGUUUAUUUGAAGGGAUGCAAUACCAAUGACAGAACAUAUUCAGACAGAUGCUGAUGACCAAUCUGCUGAAAGGGGAAGAAUGGGCUCAUCUGGAAGAAGUAACCUUUACCUACUGCAGCACCAAGAGCCUGUGGCUCACAAGUUCCCGUUUCUUUAUUUUGGUACUCCUGGCUUUGAGGAAACUCCAAGACUGGGCCUGAAGAUCCCAAAGGCUGUUCCAGCCACCUAAAUAAAAGCGCAUUUAUUACCUGUG